AUGAUGGACAUCGUGCUGUUGCUAUGUAGGAGACGAAGUCAGAGAAUGAACGGCUCAGGCCAAUAUGGAGAUGAUAUUCUGGGAAGGAAGAUGACUUUCACAAAACUUAUCUGCUAUAAAGUCCGUGGUCCAAGACUACAGGCUCUGUGGAUGAAGAUUUGUGUCACAAAAUUUCCCUUCAUGGAAAGACCUGUUGCUCCAGCAACGAGCUCCUUCAGGAAACUAUUUCUUUGGCAGCUCUGGCUUCACUGGAACCCUCGCCUACAAAGAGAAGGGUUAAGAUAGCAAGUUAAGAGGUGUUUACUUACAGGACAGAAAAUAAAGAAAGUGGGACAGAACUGGAGGAGCCCA
rnacentral:lncRNA from 1 species